rnacentral:rRNA from 1 species
GGUAACAGGUCUUCGGACGCUGACGAGCUGGCGAACGGGUGAGUAAUACAUCGGAACGUGCCCAGUCGUGGGGGAUAACUACUCGAAAGAGUAGCUAAUACCGCAUACGAUCUGAGGAUGAAAGCGGGGGACCUUCGGGCCUCGCGCGAUUGGAGCGGCCGAUGGCAGAUUAGGUAGUUGGUGGGAUAAAAGCUUACCAAGCCGACGAUCUGUAGCUGGUCUGAGAGGACGACCAGCCACACUGGGACUGAGACACGGCCCAGACUCCUACGGGAGGCAGCAGUGGGGAAUUUUGGACAAUGGGCGAAAGCCUGAUCCAGCAAUGCCGCGUGCAGGAUGAAGGCCUUCGGGUUGUAAACUGCUUUUGUACGGAACGAAAAAGUCUCCUCUAAUACAGGAGGCCCAUGACGGUACCGUAAGAAUAAGCACCGGCUAACUACGUGCCAGCAGCCGCGGUAAUACGUAGGGUGCGAGCGUUAAUCGGAAUUACUGGGCGUAAAGCGUGCGCAGGCGGUUUUGUAAGACAGAGGUGAAAUCCCCGGGCUCAACCUGGGAACUGCCUUUGUGACUGCAAGGCUAGAGUACGGCAGA